UCUAAUAUGGCAGAUUAGUGUAUUGGGUUUAAACCCCAAAAAUAAAGUUUAUACUUUUUUUAGAA
rnacentral:tRNA from 1 species